GAUCCUGGCUCGGGAUGAACGCUAGCUACAGGCUUAACACAUGCAAGUCGAGGGGCAGCGGGAUUGAAGCUUGCUUCAAUCGCCGGCGACCGGCGCACGGGUGAGUAACGCGUAUCCAACCUUCCGUACACUCAGGAAUAGCCUUUCGAAAGAAAGAUUAAUACCUGAUGGUAUGAUGAGAUUGCAUGAUAGCAUCAUUAAAGAUUUAUCGGUGUACGAUGGGGAUGCG
rnacentral:rRNA from 1 species